AUUGAACGCUGGCGGCAUGCCUAACACAUGCAAGUCGAACGGGGCAGCAAUGCCUAGUGGCGGACGGGUGAGGAAUACGUAGGAAUCUGCCCUUAAGUGGGGGAUAACCAGGGGAAACCCUGACUAAUACCGCAGGAUCUCUUCGGAGCAAAGAGGGGGACCGCAAGGCCUCUCGCUUCUGGAUGAGCCUACUUCUGAUUAGCCAGUUGGUAGGGUAAAGGCCUACCAAGGCGACGCUCAGUAACUGGUCUGAGAGGAUGAUCAGUCACACCGGAACUGAGACACGGUCCGUACUCCUACGGGAGGCAGCAGUGGGGAAUAUUGGACAAUGGGCGCAAGCCUGAUCCAGCAAUGCCGCGUGUGUGAAGAAGGCCUUCGGGUUGUAAAGCACUUUAGCCUGGAAAGAAAAAACUUUGGUUAACACCCAAAGUCUUGACGGUACCAGGAGAAUAAGCACCGGCUAACUCUGUGCCAGCAGCCGCCGUAACAC
rnacentral:rRNA from 1 species